rnacentral:sRNA from 2 species
AGAGAAAUUUUGCCGAAUGUCCUUUUGGACAACGGGGGAUUAUCCUUUGGGGUGAAUCCAAUUAUUUGGUAGGGACACUCUCUUCCCGAACCCGUCAACUAACCUCGUAGGCAUAGAGAGGUGAUAC